rnacentral:tRNA from 1 species
GGAGGUAUAGCUUAGUGGUAAAGCACAUAGUGCAUGAGGCCCUGACUUCCAUCCUUAGUACCACCA